rnacentral:rRNA from 1 species
AUGUUGUUAGACAAUACUGAACCUACAAGCUAUGGAGAAGCGAUGGUGGGCCCAUAUUCCGACAAAUUGUUAGAAGCCAUGAAAUCCGAGAUAGGAUCCAUGUAUCAGAACAAAGCAUGGGCUUUGGUGAACUUGCCUGAUGAUCGGCAAGCCAUUGAGAUAAAUGGAUCUUUAAGAAGAAGACAGACAUGGACGGUAAUGUUACCGUCUAUGAAUCUCGACUUGUGGCAAAGAGAAUUUUCACAAGUUCAAGGAGUUGACUACGAUGAGAUUUUCUCAUCCGUAGCGAUGCUUAAGUCCGUCGGAAUCAUGUUAGCAUUAGCUGCAUUUAUGAAAUCUGGCAGAUGGAUGUCAAAACAAGUUUCCUUACCAGUUUUCAUAAGGAAAGGUUGUAUGUGA